rnacentral:rRNA from 1 species
AACAGAGCCAUAUCUCCCUGCAGUCCUUGCCUGGUUUCUCACUGAAGCUAGGGUUGAGCCUGGUCAGUACCUGGAUGGGAGACCUCCUGGGGAAAACUAAGGUUGCUGCUGGAA